rnacentral:tRNA from 1 species
GCCGAAGUGGUGGAAUUGGCAGACGCGUCGGACUCAAAAUCCGAUAUUGGAGACAAUGUGCGGGUUCAAGUCCCGCCUUCGGCACCA